rnacentral:rRNA from 1 species
GAUGAACGCUGGCGGCGUGCCUAAUACAUGCAAGUCGAGCGAACGGACGAGAAGCUUGCUUCUCUGAUGUUAGCGGCGGACGGGUGAGUAACACGUGGAUAACCUACCUAUAAGACUGGGAUAACUUCGGGAAACCGGAGCUAAUACCGGAUAAUAUUUUGAACCGCAUGGUUCAAAAGUGAAAGACGGUCUUGCUGUCACUUAUAGAUGGAUCCGCGCUGCAUUAGCUAGUUGGUAAGGUAACGGCUUACCAAGGCAACGAUGCAUAGCCGACCUGAGAGGGUGAUCGGCCAAACUGGAACUGAGAAACGGUCCAGACACCUACGGGAGGCAGCAGUAGGGAAUCUUCCGAAAGGGGCGAAAGCCUGAAGGAGCAACGCCGCGUGAGUGAUGAAGGUCUUCGGAUCGUAAAACUCUGUUAUUAGGGAAAAAAAUAUGUGUAAGUAACUGUGCACAUCUUGACGGUACCAAAUCAGAAAGCCACGGCUAACUACG